rnacentral:rRNA from 1 species
GUGUCAGCAGCCGCGGUAAUACGUAGGGGGCAAGCGUUGUCCGGAUUUAUUGGGCGUAAAGAGCGUGUAGGCGGUUUUACAAGUCCGCUGUGAAAACUCGAGGCUCAACCUCGAGACGCCGGUUGAAACCAUCUGGCUAGAGUCCGGAAGAGGAGAGUGGAAUUCCUGGUGUAUCGGUGAAAUGCGCAGAUAUCAGGAAGAACACCCGUGGCGAAAGCGGCUCUCUAGAACGGUACUGACGCUGAGACGCGAAAGCGUGGGGAGCGAACAGGAUUAGAUACCCUGGUAGUCC